AACACUUUUCACAGGGGUGCAGAAAUGCUAGUCCACCAAUGCAUCAAGAAAGAACUAAGUCAUGUCAACACUUGAGCCAAGCUUCAAUCAUCAAGAGACAGUCUCUAGAUGACGUCAUAGAUAGAGAACCUUCCAGAAUUUAGGCAAUUGUUUUCCUUCACAAGAGGGUUCUUCUGAGAGGAUUCUUGUCACACAAAAAAUCAGCCAGUAGGUAGAAUCCUCUCAGAAAAAUCCUCUUGUGAAAUGCUCCUCACAAAAAAUCAGCCAGUAGAAGAAAGGUAGAAUCCUCUCAGAAAAAUCCUCUUGUGAAAUGCUCCUCACAAAAAAUCAGCCAGUAGAAGAAAGGUAGAAUCCUCUCAGGAAAAUUCUCUUGUGAAAUGCAUCUCACAAAAAAUCAGCCAGUAGAAGAAAGGUAGAAUCCUCUCAGAAAAAUCCUCUUGUGAAAUGCAUCUCACAAAAAAUCAGCCAGAAUCCUUACUUGAUAGAAAGGAGGAGUAAAGAACAAUCUACAAACCUCUGUGAGAGA
rnacentral:sRNA from 1 species